rnacentral:rRNA from 1 species
UGGGGAAUAUUGCACAAUGGGCGCAAGCCUGAUGCAGCCAUGCCGCGUGUAUGAAGAAGGCCUUCGGGUUGUAAAGUACUUUCAGCGGGGAGGAGGGAGUAAAGUUAAUACCUUUGCUCAUUGACGUUACCCGCAGAAGAAGCACCGGCUAACUCCGUGCCAGCAGCCGCGGUAAUACGGAGGGUGCAAGCGUUAAUCGGAAUUACUGGGCGUAAAGCGCACGCAGGCGGUUUGUUAAGUCAGAUGUGAAAUCCCCAGGCUCAACCUGGGAACUGCAUCUGUUAGUGGCAAACUUGAGUCUGGUAGAGGGGGGUAGAAUUCCGGGUGUAGCGGUGAAGUGCGUAGAGAUCUGGGGGAAUACCGGUGGGGAAGGCGGCCCCCUGGACAAAGACUGACGCUCAGGUGCGAAAGAGUGGGGAGCAAACAGG